rnacentral:snoRNA from 1 species
GUGCACAUUUUAUUGUUUUUUCUUCACAUCAAGAGAAAAGAUGUUUUUGGUGUGCCGAACAAACCUUUGUAGAUAAAUCCACAGUGUGACAGCCACUGUUGUUCGUCUCCUUCAGAGUACC